CCAAGUAGCAACCGAAGCUUUUUUGUCCCAGUUUCAACCCCCUCAUGUCCACAAACUGCCUUCGCUUACUAUUCCUAUCCCGUUUCUACAUUCCACAACGUUUGUUGCGUUCUCACUCAUCAGGGUGUUAGUCAAUUCUCUCUUGCCACACGAAGAGAAUUCUCCUGCACACUUCGUGUGUUUGAUCCUACCCAUCCCUGCUGAACACACGUCAUUUUCUUCCAUCGUACUCAUCAGGGUGUUUGCUCUUUUCCAUCCAAGCCAAAGAGCGACUUCAGUGUGCUCUGAACCGUGGACGUGAGAGUGUGUGUUUGUGUGCUGCGUGAACUAUUUUUCCUGCGUGAAACACUUUCCAUACUGUGCCAUCCGCGGUGUUCUUUCUGCUUUAUCGGAGGACAAAUUGUUAUCAUCUAAUUGUUUCGAUGUGUGCUGCUACCACUAGCUGUUCUCCAAACCUCUUCAAAUUGCGACACUGUGUGCACAGGCGUUCAAGGUUCAAUUGAUCCUCGAGCACAAAGGCUUCAUACAACACCGCGGUCGAGGCGCGUCAAAUCUGGUGACAUCUUUCCUGAAC